GUGGGUGCACAGCAAAGGACAGAUGGAGUGGGUGGGACAGUUUUUGUCUGUGGCAUCAUUUUGUUGUCGCUAUUGCAAGGGGAAGAGAACUACUGCUACCACCAUCCUUUCUUUGGGGUGUGUGUGGGGUUGGUCGUGCCCAGAGAAGGUAUGCUGCUCUCACCUCAUGCUGGCCACUGUCAGCUCAGGGCACAGGCGCCUGCCCCCUACCCCGGGUAUUACCAAGUCAUGAUCACUUUCAUUUCUACAACUGAGAUUUACAUGGAAUCCCACCCUACUUUUGUAAAAGGCAGAGUGAGGCAGAGUUGUGAGAUGAGUAUGCUGAAAUAAAGUCACGAUUUACCUCCUCCAAA
rnacentral:lncRNA from 1 species